UACGGAGGGGGCUAGCGUUGCUCGGAAUCAUUGGGCGUAAAGAGCGCGUAGGCGGCUUGUUAAGUCUUGCGUGAAAUCUCGGGGCUCAACCCCGAGCGGUCGUGAGAAACUGGCAGGCUAGAGUGCGGGAGAGGAGAGUGGAAUUCCUGGUGUAGCGGUGAAAUGCGCAGAUAUCAGGAAGAACACCCGUGGCGAAGGCGGCUCUCUGGAACGCAACUGACGCUGAGACGCGAAAGCGUGGGGAGCAAACAGG
rnacentral:rRNA from 1 species